ACGCAUCCGCGGAAAAUUCCGAAUUUUGCGUGGAAAAUGAUGUAUUAGUUUAAUGGGCCACGGAUGGCGGAAAUCGUCUCCGCCCACGGACCAUUCUUCUUCUUUUUCUCAACACACGGCGGACAAACGUAUUGAAAACAUUUGCCCUUCGUUAUACCGCAUUUCGGAUAGUAUUAACACCCUGUAACAUUUCGAAUCUAGAAUAACGCACCUAGAAAGUGCAAUUGGCCGCGAUUACCCAUUAUUGUUCGCCGACAAUGAGCGCGGGAAAAAGAAACUGAAAAUCGACGCGGAAAUUUCCGUCUCACGUUUCGAAAGAAAAAUAUCGCCGUACCAGGUCGUCUCGUCGCCGGCCGAACGUUUAAAUAGGCCUUAAUAAGGAAGUCCAGUUUUUGUCCGGCGAAGCGGAGAAGCGAUCUUGGCCGUCAAUUAACCGCAGUGGUCUGGGUCUGUAAGAAUUCUGUCGUCAAGGCGGUUGUUUGACAGAUGUCAGUUUUAAAUGAGGAGUUGACAGGAGCGCAUCGGACUGUAAGAACAACAGAAAUUCAAGAACCAGUUUUCAAUUCUAUAGAAAAAUUGGAAAUAAUCUGAAUAUCUCGCGUGUCUUGAUUCGGAAAAUUUUGCACGAUUUUCUAUUGUCCCAUAUCAUAUUCAGCAAGUUGGGAAAUGAUAUGUAUGUAUAUGUAUAUGCAUUAUAACUGUGAAAGUAAAAAGAGUAGUCUUUUAUUUUUUUUUCUGAAG